AUUGAACGCUGGCGGCAGGCCUAACACAUGCAAGUCGAGCGGAUGAAGGGAGCUUGCUCCUGGAUUCAGCGGCGGACGGGUGAGUAAUGCCUAGGAAUCUGCCUGGUAGUGGGGGAUAACGUCCGGAAACGGGCGCUAAUACCGCAUACGUCCUGAGGGAGAAAGUGGGGGAUCUUCGGACCUCACGCUAUCAGAUGAGCCUAGGUCGGAUUAGCUAGUUGGUGGGGUAAAGGCCUACCAAGGCGACGAUCCGUAACUGGUCUGAGAGGAUGAUCAGUCACACUGGAACUGAGACACGGUCCAGACUCCUACGGGAGGCAGCAGUGGGGAAUAUUGGACAAUGGGCGAAAGCCUGAUCCAGCCAUGUCGCGUGAGUGAAGAAGGUCUUCGGAUUGUAAAGCACUUUAAGUUGGGAGGAAGGGCAGUAAGUUAAUACCUUGCUGUUUUGACGUUACCAACAGAAUAAGCACCGGCUAACUUCGUG
rnacentral:rRNA from 1 species